ACGAACGCUGGCGGCGUGCUUAACACAUGCAAGUCGAACGGAAAGGCCCUGCUUUUGUGGGGUGCUCGAGUGGCGAACGGGUGAGUAACACGUGAGUAACCUGCCCUUGACUUUGGGAUAACUUCAGGAAACUGGGGCUAAUACCGGAUAGGAGCUCCUGCUGCAUGGUGGGGGUUGGAAAGUUUCGGCGGUUGGGGAUGGACUCGCGGCUUAUCAGCUUGUUGGUGGGGUAGUGGCUUACCAAGGCUUUGACGGGUAGCCGGCCUGAGAGGGUGACCAGCCACAUUGGGACUGAGAUACGGCCCAGACUCCUACGGGAGGCAGCAGUGGGGAAUAUUGCACAAUGGGCGGAAGCCUGAUGCAGCAACGCCGCGUGCGGGAUGACGGCCUUCGGGUUGUAAACCGCUUUCGCCUGUGACGAAGCGUGAGUGACGGUAAUGGGUAAAGAAGCACCGGCUAACUACGUG
rnacentral:rRNA from 1 species